UAGGACUAGAGUUUGUAAUCGACUGUGACA
rnacentral:piRNA from 1 species